GCUGACCUGGCCUUGCAGGGUGUAGCUGGGUGUGCACGACUCCGCACAGUCCUUCUUCACCAGAUUCCCCCUCAGAGGCUCCACUGGGCACAGCCCGAGGGACACCUGGACAGAUGCUACUCACCUGUGUUCAUGGUCUUGCAGAAGCGAGAGCUGGCCGGGCAGACCACAGAAUGCUUGCAGUUGCUGGAGCUGGUGCACACGUGGCAGCGCAGGGAAUGAGCACUACUUGGAAAAAGGGCUGAUUCUAGGGAUGGAAUGGGGGAACACAAGAUGAGCCUGAAGUAGUUUUUUUUUUUUUUUUUUUUUGAGACAGAGUCAUGCUCUGUCACCCAGGCUGGAGUGCAGUGGCGUGAUCUCAGCUCACUACAAGCUCUGCCUCCCGGGUUCACGCCAUUCUCCUGCCUCAGCCUCCCGAGUAGCUGGGACUACAGGCACCCACCACCACGCCCAGAUAAUUUUUUGUAUUUUUAGUAGAGACGGGGUUUCACCGUGUUAGCCAGGAUGGUCUCGAUCUCCUGACCUCGUGAUCCACCCGCCUCGGCCUCCCAAAUUGCUGGGAUUACAAGCGCGAGCCACUGCGCCCAGCCAAAGUACCUUUAA
rnacentral:antisense_RNA from 1 species